GUUAUAAACAAAAGGAAGUAUGGUACAGCUGCUGUAUACACUCUGUGGGUACUCCUAAUUACCCACUACACAUAGACAAUCACCAGAACACAAAGAAACUUUUUGACCUGGAUGAUGUUACCACCACCCAAAUCUAAAGUGCUUUAAGUGAGUGCAGCGCUAUAUAAGUGCUUAGGUAAGUGUGUUCACUAGAUCUUGGAACUCUUACCCUUUAUCGUUUCUCUUGAUACAAUAUGGUACAUAAAAAAGAAGAAAAAAAGAACAUAUACAGAUAAUAGUGUAAUAUGUCUUUAAAUUGAGCGAUUGGUGAAAUAAGUGAAUAUAUAAACUCACAUUCGUUAGAGCCUUUUCUAGUGUUAGGCUCUAAACUUCUGCACGUCUGUGUCUUUUUUGGGUAGCUCACACGACCCCUCUCUCACAAGGAAGAUAUGAAUGUUCUCCACCGGAUAUAUAAAAGACACAGAUAUUUCAUACUAAGUGUAGCAUCUCAGAAAAGGAAAUGAUGUCUAUAUAAGAAAAAAUGGAAAUGCUCACCUUAUUUAGAG